rnacentral:tRNA from 3 species
CGCGGGGUGGAGCAGUCCGGUAGCUCGUCAGGCUCAUGACCUAGAGGUCGCUGGUUCAAAUCCGGCCGCCGCAACCA